rnacentral:rRNA from 1 species
AUGAUGGUGGCCUACCUCGGAUGUUUUCCCAACAUUGACACGCUGCACGUCGAGUCUAUAACUGAACGCACUGGAAAAAACCAUGCCAAGUUCUGGCAGGAGCUCCCUACUGUUGAAUGCAUCAAGUCGCACGUCAAGAAGAUGGUUUUCCAUAAAUAUAGAGGGAAACGAAGUGAGCUUGAAUUCCUUAAGUUCAUUUCCAGGAAAGCGCAAGAGCUACAGACAUUGUAUGUUCUGCUAAACAGACAGAGUCUUACUUCGGUGGCCAAGCAGACAGAGAUGACAGGCAAAUUGGUGGCUCUCUCGGAGGUAGCAUGGAGCUGCGAUUGCAAGAUAAUGGUGCUAGGCCCUGAAUUUCAGAGUAAAUGGAGCAUCCAGAAAGCAUCUGAUCUUACUGUCGACGACCCUUUUCACUACUGA